rnacentral:rRNA from 1 species
UACGGAGGGUGCAAGCGUUAUCCGGAUUCACUGGGUUUAAAGGGUGCGUAGGUGGGCUAGUAAGUCCGUGGUGAAAUCCCUGAGCUUAACUUGGGAACUGCCAUUGAUACUAUUAGUCUUGAAUAUCGUGGAGGUAAGCGGAAUAUGUCAUGUAGCGGUGAAAUGCUUAGAUAUGACAUAGAACACCAAUUGCGAAGGCAGCUCACUACUCAAUCAUUGACUCUGAGGCACGAAAGCGUGGGGAUCAAACAGG